rnacentral:rRNA from 1 species
ACGAACGCUGGCGGCGUGCUUAACACAUGCACGUCGAACGGAAAGGCCCUGCUUGCAGGGUCCUCGAGUGGCGAACGGGUGAGUAACACGUGGGUGAUCUGCCCUGCACUUCGGGAUAAGCCUGGGAAACUGGGCCUAAUACCGGAUAUGACCUUCCAUGUAGUGUGGGGGGUGGAAAGAUUUAUCGGUGUGGGAUGAGCCCGCGGCCUAUCAGCUUGUUGGUGGGGUAAUGGCCUACCAAGGCGUCGACGGGUAGCCGGCCUGAGAGGGUGGACGGCCACAUUGGGACUGAGAUACGGCCCAGACUCCUACGGGAGGCAGCAGUGGGGAAUAUUGCACAAUGGGCGGAAGCCUUAUGCAGCGACGCCGCGUGGGGGAUGACGGCCUUCGGGUUGUAAACCUCUUUCGACAGGGACGAAGCUUCGGUGACGGUACCUGUAUAAGAAGCACCGGCUAACUACGUG